ensembl:ncRNA F09E8.12 ncRNA
CAAACUUUCAAAAUUAAUUUCUGGCUUCAAACUAACUUUUUUAGAAAUUCCCGUAGCCAUUUUGUAGCAAAUUUUAUGUUCUUUCAGAAUUUGAAAACAGAAUUUCAAAAAAUUUUGAAACUGCCUAGUUCAAGCAGAAAAAGUGAAUUUUCAUAUUACUGGAAGUUUGGAUAUCGAUGGAAGAGUUGUGAAGAUUGGCGGGAUAUUAGAAAAAGCGCAAGCUGCGAUUGAUAACAAGAUCGAGAAAGUUGUCAUUCCCGAAGCAAACUAAAGUCAAGUCCCUAACACGAUGAAAGAACAAAUU